GCAUGCAUACUGUUUGUGCAGUAGCAGUUUGAAAAUUAUUAAAGCGUAAUAAAACAAUGGCAACAAAUACUUUAGGUAAAAGAUAAACGUAGACGAUGUUAUCCGUGUAGUCCAAUUAUGUUUUUUACUUGCUCUCAACUGUUCUACAUUUGGCUUACCAAAUAUUUGACCACGAGCAUACUUGCUGGAGUCUUAGAGCUCAUAUUAGCUUUACACGUGUAUCAUUUGUUUGUUUACCUAAUACAUGUAUAUGUGUAUAUUUAAGUCUAUUGCUUUCAUGCUUUAAAUGAUAAACAACAAUCAUAACAUGAUAUCCGUAGCUCUAACACAAAAUUAGAAAAAAAAUGACAAUGAACAGCCUUUUAAUGAUGAAAAG
rnacentral:lncRNA from 1 species